rnacentral:rRNA from 1 species
UACAGAGGUCUCAAGCGUUGUUCGGAUUCAUUGGGCGUAAAGGGUGCGUAGGUGGCAAGGUAAGUUGGAUGUGAAAUCCCGGGGCUUAACCCCGGAACUGCAUUCAAUACUGCCCUGCUCGAGUACUGGAGAGGAGAUUGGAAUUUACGGUGUAGCAGUGAAAUGCGUAGAUAUCGUAAGGAAGACCGGUGGCGAAGGCGGAUCUCUGGACAGUUACUGACACUGAGGCACGAAGGCCAGGGGAGCAAACGGG